UACGUAGGGUGCAAGCGUUAAUCGGAAUACUGGGCGUAAAGCGUGCGCAGGCGGUGAUGUAAGACAGAUGUGAAAUCCCCGGGCUCAACCUGGGAACUGCAUUUGUGACUGCAUCGCUGGAGUGCGGCAGAGGGGAUGGAAUUCCGCGUGUAGCAGUGAAAUGCGUAGAUAUGCGGAGGAACACCGAUGGCGAAGGCAAUCCCCGUGGGCCUGCACUGACGCUCAUGCACGAAAGCGUGGGGAGCAAACAGG
rnacentral:rRNA from 1 species